ensembl:lncRNA
GCAAUAGUCAUGUAAACACUUUACUCUGCUUAUCCUAAGGUCAAAAUCGAAGUAAGCACACGCCGACUAAAACAGCUGGUUUUCUGAGCAAUCUUUGGAAGGAAAUGUUUACAGUUUUAGCCAGCGGUUUAUUUGAUCUGCGCAUGUGCCAGCACCAGCAACGCAAACCUCCUGCUUUUGCACGAAUGCAGUGAAUUCAGAGAAACGGAAAGUGUAAAAGAAACAAACUGGACAAGUAGAUGCACAAUGGAUUAUGAUCACUGUAGUUAAUUACCUUUAUGUGCUAAACUAUGUUGGACAUUGGCCUGUUGGAAACUACAACUCCCUACUACAUUUCCAGGCUGGAUCACAACCGGCUGUGAAUGGGAGUCCCAUAGGGCGGCGCCCAAUUGGCCCAGCAUCGUCAGGGUUAGUGUUUGGCUGAGGUAGGCCGUCAUUGUGAAUAAGAAUUUGUUCUUAACUGACUUGCCUAGUUACAUAAGGGAAGAAAAACUUUGCAAAGUUUAGGCUGGAUCUGAUUUAUCUCUAGAGAAACUGUGCAAUGUGGGCAUUGAGCUCACCGGAAAAAAAAACAGAACGAAAUGGAAUUCAAAUAGUUGAAACAAUGUUGGUCAAUUAGUUGUUUGAAAACAGAAAAAGAACCAACAUUUCGGUUAAUCGCUCAGCACUAAACUGGAAUAACUAAUUAAUUGAUUGAAUUGUGUCCUGUACAUCUCACUGAUUGCCUCCAUAUCUCUUUGAAUAAAAACCUUCAGCAUCACCUUGUCUCGGUGUGAUCAAUCUUCUAGUUGAUCAAUCUUCUAGUUUUCUAUUUGUUAGAUUGCUCCUUCCCCGUUCAUAGACGCUAACUACCUUUACCGCCUAUUGAUGAGGUAUCUUUAGCGCUUAUUGAUGAAGGUAUAUUUUUCCUGGGGGACUUUUGUUAAGAUCCCCUCACACUCGGUCUGAUGACUAAACACAUUUAAAGGG